UACGAAGGGGGCUAGCGUUGCUCGGAAUUACUGGGCGUAAAGCGCACGUAGGCGGCUUUCUAAGUCGGGGGUGAAAUCCUGGAGCUCAACUCCAGAACUGCCUUCGAUACUGGAGAGCUUGAGUCCGGGAGAGGUGAGUGGAACUGCGAGUGUAGAGGUGAAAUUCGUAGAAUAUUCGCAAGAACACCAGUGGCGAAAGGCGGCUCACUGGCCCGGUACUGA
rnacentral:rRNA from 1 species